CAAAAUCAACCAGAUGCUCCGCAGGGCGCAGCUUUAUACGACCGCAGAGGUUGAACCCUGAACGGUUGGGGCAAGUAUGGACACAACAUUCAAGCUGGAUUCAGCUCUAAAUUUGGAUUGUGAUUAAAUAGUUGACACAGCAUAGGUUUCUGACACAGAAUGAAUGUGGUCUAAUGAACUUAAAAAAAAAUGUUUGCCUUUGAGCAAUUCACUAUGCUGUUGAAUAUUAAUCCUCUCAAAAAAAUGUUUGAAGAAAUUUUCUUUUUAUUUAUGAAAUCUGAAAUGAAAAAAAUUGACCCUCCAAUUUUUUUUUUCACAUCCCCCUUUCCCUUAUUUCAAAACUGAUCUCAAUUCAAAUUUCUAAUGAAGUUUGCAACAAUAACUACUCAUUUAAAUACAUCAUAAAAUUUUUAAAAUGUAAAAAAAGUGCUUGUUAUCACUGAAUGGUAAAGAUUGUUUUAAUCUAUCAGUUGGUAGUAAAAGUGAAUAUACAUUGUAUAUUGUAUAAAACAAUGAUUUAAGUUGAUUCAACUACUAUUCUGGACAAAGAAAGAUAGCUCCAAUUGAAAUCCAAUUGGAAUUUCUUGCUAUUGCACAAUAUUGUGCAAUUAGAUAUUUCUUGCUAUUGUGGAAUACUGUGCAAUUGAAAAUAUUUGCUAUUGCACAAUACUGUGCAAUUGAAGAUUUCUUGCUAUUGCACAAUACUGUGCAAUUGAAGAUUUCUUGCUAUUGCUGAAUUCUGAAAAUUUCUUGCUAUUGCACAAUACUUAAUAUAAUAAUUUUGGAUCCUGAUUUGGACCAACUUGAAAACUGGGCCCAUAAUCAAAAAUCUAAGUACAUGUUUAGAUUCAGCAUAUCACAG
rnacentral:lncRNA from 1 species